ensembl:lncRNA
GUGAGGGCUAAUGUAGUGGUGAGGGCUAUGGUAGUGGUGAGGGCUAUGGUAGUGGUGAGGACUAUGGUAGUGGUGAGGACUAUGGUAGUGGUGAGGACUAUGGUAGUGGUGAGGACUAUGGUAGUGGUGAGGACUAAUGUAGUGGUGAGGACUAUGGUAGUGGUGAGGGCUAAUGUAGUGGUGUGGGCUAUGGUAGUGGUGAGGGCUAAUGUAGUGGUGAGGACUAAUGUAGUGGUGAGGGCUAUUGUGGUGGUGAGGGCUAUGAUGGUAGUGGUGAGGGCUAUGGUAGUGGUGAGGGCUAUGAUGGUAGUGGUGAGGGCUAUGGUAGUGGUGAGGGCUAAUGUAGUGGUGAGGACUAAUGUAGUGGUGUGGGCUAUGGUAGUGGUGAGGACUAAUGUAGUGGUGAGGGCUAUGGUGGUGGUGAGGGCUAUGAUGGUAGUGGUGAGGGCUAUGGUAGUGGUGAGGACUAUGGUAGUGGUGAGGACUAUGGUAGUGGUGAGGACUAAUGUAGUGGUGAGGACUAAUGUAGUGGUGAGGGCUAUUGUAGUGGUGUGGGCUAUGGUAGUGGUGAGGGCUAAUGUAGUGGUGAGGACUAAUGUAGUGGUGAGGACUAAUGUAGUGGUGAGGGCUAUUGUGGUGGUGAGGGCUAUGAUGGUAGUGGUGAGGGCUAUGGUAGUGGUGAGGGCUAUGAUGGUAGUGGUGAGGGCUAUGGUAGUGGUGAGGGCUAAUGUAGUGGUGUGGGCUAUGGUAGUGGUGAGGGCUAAUGUAGUGGUGAGGACUAAUGUAGUGGUGAGGGCUAUGGUGGUGGUGAGGGCUAUGAUGGUAGUGGUGAGGGCUAUGGUAGUGGUGAGGGCUAUGGUAGUGGUGAGGGCUAAUGUAGUGGUGAGGACUAAUGUAGUGGUGAGGGCUAUGGUAGUGGUGAGGGCUAUGAUGGUAGUGGUGAGGGCUAUGAUGGUAGUGGUGAGGGCUAUGGUAGUGGUGAGGGGCUACGGUAGUGGUGAGGGCUAUGGUAGUAGAGAGGCUAUGGUAGUGGUUCAGGGCUAUGGUAGUAGAGAGGCUAUGGUAGUGGUGAGGGCUAUGGUAAUGGUGAGGACUAUGGUAGUGGUUCAGGGCUAUGGUAGUGGUUCAGGGCUAUGGUAGUGGUUCAGGGCUAUGGUAGUAGAGAGGCUAUGGUAGUGGUGAGGACUAUGGUAGUGGUUCAGGGCUAUGGUAGUAGAGAGGACUAUGGUAGUGGUGAGGGCUAUGGUAAUGGUGAGGACUAUGGUAGUGGUGAGGACUAUGGUAGUGGUUCAGGGCUAUGGUAGUGAUAAUGGUUAUGGUAGUAGAGAGGCUGUGGUGAAGGUUAUGUGUUCAUGGGUAUUGUUCUCUGUUUCAGUGCCUGAUGAUAAUGAGUGGAAAUAUGGGCGGCAGGCCUGGGAGAAUCAUUACUCCCAGAUGACACAGGGGGUGGGAAAGAACCGGAUAUGUUUGUGUGUGUGUGCGUGUGUGCUUGUGUGUGUGUGUGCGUGGGUGGGUGGAGAACGGUAGCUAGCUACGAGACACUCCAAACUCACAUGCGACAAGACAAUUACAGUUCAAUCCCCUGCAAUUACUCCAUCAGAAAGACAUCAUGUGCUAUAAGAUAUAACAGUACGUAACUAGAACACCCAACUGAUGAAUACUUGAGAUAGAAGCUCCUCAUAGAGAACCACAGAUCCAGGAUCAUAUUAUCCUACCCCAAUCCUGAACUUAACCACCAGGGGGAGGGG